rnacentral:lncRNA from 1 species
AUCUCUUAAUGCAGGUCCAUAUCUUCCACUUUUUAGUCACGUGAAAAAAAAUACUUUAUGAUUAUAGCAAAUUAUGACAAAUCUCUAUCUUGGACUCGUCACAAGACAGGGCUAUCUAAGGAGUGAGCAAGCUGGGUUUCGAAGAUUAAAAUACAGAGACAAGUAAUCAUCAUGGACUAUCCUACAGUACUCCUGCUGGUGUUUCUGGUGUUCACUGUAAAUGACUGUAAGUAAAAUAUAUAUAUUGUAACAUACUAUAAAUAUGUUAUUAUGCAUGUAUGAUUCCCGAAUAACAAAAGUCAUGCCAUCUACAAAUACAAAUACAAACAAAAAGCAAUAGUGGCAAAACAGCAGCAUACAAAUUUGUUAAAACAUGUUUGGAUAGGUGACAAUAGUUAAAUUUACUAUUUGGUGGUUUAAUGCAUUAUUUAACACAAUUAGGCAUAACUAUAUAUUUUUGCUUACUUAUUAUUGUUUUUUAGCUCAAACAAGAUGACAUUACAGAGACAGGAUGGUAUUACAUAGCAGGAAGUAAAGAUAUAUAUUGUUUUACUGGUAAAAUAAUUUUUAAAUAAUACAUAAUACAUUGUUUCUUUUGUUCUGUUAGAAAAUAUUUACAAGUGUUGGAAUCCUGAUUGACCCCUUCACCACUGAGCACUUUUUCAUUUAAAAAUAUUGCACAAAAUUUGUUUGAAGUAAUGGUUCCAUAGCUACAACAUAAACAUAUAAGACAGCAGUUUUCUGUGUUAAAUGUUUAGUAGAGAUUGAUUGGCAGACAAACUUAAAAAUUAAAGUUAUGUAAAUUAACACAAUUUAUUAUUUUUCACUUAUUUGUUAACUUAUAACUUAUAUUAGCCUUUACAAAAAUAUGUGGGGAAUUAAAAGUUUUAGACAGUAUAUAUUGUUCUUUAUUUUGCAAUAUAUCAGAAAGGGAGUGAAAUAUUAGUAUAAAAGUAAAAAUGCUAUUUUCUCACAGUAGAUAUGACAAAAAUAGAUAAAUAAAAAUAGUUGAAUACCUUUCUUCUUAGGUAUUUGUAAGGACUCUGAAGGUAUUACUAUCAGCGCAGCUUACUAAAAAUACAAGAGAAUGUAAAAAUAAUGUCUGAUUUUAAGCAUAAUGCUAAUGUAAUUCUAACAUUGAAAUGGUAGUGUCCAUUUACUCAUUCGCCCUCCGUAGUUGCAGAAAUUAUAUGGCCUAUUGAAACCUCCUUUACAGUUUGGAAGGAGAGGCUGAGCUGACAUUUCCAGCACACUUGCAGGCAUUAAAUUACUGAUUAACGACUUCUAGGAGAGACAUUCAUUGCUUUACAGGCUGGUAAUCAUUUAUAGAAAGGGGGUGAGUAAGGCUUUAUGGACUAAAUUUCAUUCUACAAAAUACAUAAAAAUGAAACUAUCAUUGCAGGCUUGUAUUAAGUUGCACUGCGCAAUGAUUUAAUUUAAAAUAGUUGGACUGUGUUUCUCAUAUACUGUAUUACAUGUCUCCAGUGCCUCCAUAACCUUUUCUUGAGUCCAUCGUCACGGUUGAGCAUUUUAUUAGAUGUUUUCUCAUUAAACGUCAUGUUAGGUGUUUCUCAUAAUUUUGUUUAACAAACUGGGAUAGUGGAGCAUUUAAAAGGGAUGUGGCAAAUGUGCUAAAAUAGCUUAAUUUGUAAAAAAAUAAAUAAAUAUCCAUCACUACUAUUCCUGGCCUAAACAUUUGCUACAGCUACAAGAUAGAACCCCCAGCAACUCUUCUGUACAGAUAAAACACUGCCUUAAACAGAAUUAUGGGAUAAGUUCAAAAUGGCACAAGCUGAGAGAUUUAUGCAAAUGCAGGAACUUUAAUAGUAUAUUUUUAAUAUGUUGUUAUUGCAUACCAUUUAUUGUGUUAUAUGUACAAUAUAUUAAAUAAUAAUGGCUCAGCUCCUGUAGCUCAAUUAAGCAGUUUUUGUGUAUAGAUCAUGCCUCUGAAGUGUCACUGCUCAAUUCUCUGCCAUUUAGGAGAUAAUAUUUUUAUUUAUGUAGCCCUAGUAACACCUCACCUAGCUAGGACUUACAUAGCCUAUAUGAAAAAAAAUGGUUUCAUUUUCAAUUAGAUGUUAACUUACUUUAGAAGUCUUUAUCUCCUGCUCUGUAAACUGAACUUUAAUUACACAGAAGAGACUUCUGCAGGGUNNNNNNNNNNNNNNNNNNNNNNNNNNNNNNNNNNNNNNNNNNNNNNNNNNNNNNNNNNNNNNNNNNNNNNNNNNNNNNNNNNNNNNNNNNNNNNNNNNNNCUAUAAGGCCAUUGACAGUGCAGAAGGUAGGAAAUACUAAUUUAAACAGAAUUUGCAAUAAAGGAAGUGUAGACAUUGGAUCUCACUUUACAGGAAAUGUUUAGGAAGGCUACAGGGAUAAGGGCUGCAUAAACAAAGUGAUUUAACUCCUAAAUGACAGAGAAUUGAGCAGCGAGAUUGCAGGAACAUGAUCUAUACACCAAAACCGCUAGGGAUUUUUUCUCUAGAAAAAGAAUUGCACUAAAUUUCACUAGAAACUAGAUGCCAAUAUGUAGGUUAAAAUAGGUGUGUAACUACUAGGGUGUAUCUAUGAAUGAGCUGGAUUCUCCAAAUCAACACUUUUUUGCAACAUUUUUCAAUUCAGUUUUUCAUUUUGAGUGCUGAGUAAAUAAAAUCCUAUUGAAGCUAUUUAGAAAUAUGUUUCAUAAAGUAUUCUACCACUAGAUGGGGCUGCUACUUCAUAAUUAAUAUAACUGUGCAUAAAUUGCAGCUAACUGUAGCAAAUUGUACAUAAGUAAAAUCUGAAUGCUAAAAUAUAGGCCAAAUAAUGAUCCAACUCACUUACUGUCACAUUAUAUUUUGCAAUAUAGAAAUAAUAAAUGCCUGCGUAAUUUGAUCUCCCAUGCAGUGCUGUGAAUACAAUCCUGUUAAAUGGGGGAAUAGGGUAGAUACAAUGGGAAUGUUGUAGUAAAUAGGGAAUUGAGCUGAGUGGACAAAUGGAUCCCAACAUGUAGGUAUUUUCCAAUUAGCAAACGAUGUAAAACUCCUGCGUUAGAAAGUUUUUGGAAAAAAAUAGGAAUUUUGUGAUGAUUUAAAAAGGUUACUAUAUGUAUUUUGUAUAUAUCCGCUUUAUUUUGUCUUUUCAGGUAGUGGGGCCAUCUGGGGCUGUGAUAACUUCAUGGGAUAUUGCCGAAUUACCUGCUUUGCUCGUGAGAAUUCACUAGGUCCCAAGGACUGUGGAGACGGAUUGGUGUAAGUCUCGAAGUCAGAUUUCCAAUAAUUCCAACGUUCUAAUGAGCAGACCUGUGGUCUCUUUAACCCCUUAAGGACAAAUGACAUGUGUGACAUGUCAUGAUUCCCUUUUAUUCCAGAAGUUUGGUCCUUAAGGGGUUAAAACAUGAAGAUUAUAUAUAGCAGUUCCUUCAUUUGUCACAAAAUGACUCAAAUUUGUAUCUUCGUAUGAAACCCAACUGGUCAGGACUUUACUAAGUCACUCAUAGUGAGGCAGAGAUUGUAGCAAUGAUCUACGUAUAAUGAAAGUAUACGCUACUUUGCCUAUAUAGCACUAAAUCAGUAUAGAAUACAAAUGAGACAGAUCUAGACAGGGUGACAGUGAGAAUCUGCCCAUUUACUUUAUGACAAUUAGGACUUUGCACAUUUGCCCUUAGAGUCUGCCCAUUCAUUCUGAAACACUGAGCAUUUGCCCAGAAAUAUUUAGGGUUUGCUGAUUCAGCCAGAGAAUCUGUCCAUUCACUAUGACAAUCUGUGAGAAUCUGUCUAUUCACUAUGAAAACCUGUGAGAAUAUGUCCAUUCAGUAUGACAAUCUGUGAGAAUCUGUCCAUUCAGUAUGACAACCUGUGAGAAUCUGUCCAUUCACUAUGACAAUCUGUUAGAAUCUGUCCAUUCACUAAUACAAUCUGUGAGAAUCUGUCUAUUCACUAUGACAACCUGUAAGAUUGUGUCAAUUAAAGGACCACUAUAGUGCCAGGAAAACAUACUCGGUUUCCUGGCACUAUAGUGCCCUGAGGGUGCCCCCACCCUCAGGGACCCCCUCCCGCCCGGCUCUGGAAGGGGGAAAGGGGUAAAAACUUACAGUUUUCCAGCGCUGGGCGGGGAGCUCUCCUCCUCCGAUCCUCCUCCGUUCCUCCCCGUCGGCUGAAUGCGCACGCGCGGCAAGAGCUGCGCGCGCAUUCAGCUGGUCGCAUAGGAUAGCAUUUACAAUGCUUUCCUAUGGACGCUGGUGUGCUCUCACUGGGAAAAUCACAGUGAGAAGCACGCAAGCGCCUCUAGCGGCUGUCAAUGAGACAGCCGCUAGAGGCUUUGGGGGAAGGCUUAACCCAUUCAUAAACAUAGCAGUUUUUCUGAAACUGCUAUGUUUAUAAAAGAAUGUGUUAAUCCUGGCUGGACCUGGCACCCAGACCACUUCAUUAAGCUGAAGUGGUCUAGGUGCCUAGAGUGGUCCUUUAACUAUGAAAACUUGCUAAAAUCUGUCCAUUCACUAUGACAACCUGUGAUAAUCUGUCCAUUCACUAUGACAAUCUGUGAGAAUCUGACAAUUCACAAUUACAAUCUGUGAGAAUCUGUCCAUUCACUGUGACAACCUGUGAUAAUCUGAAACAAGGGGGCUGCACCCACCUGAACAUGGGGUGCUUCUGGGGGUCAAUUUAUACAAUACACAAGAUCCAGCAAACUCACUCAUCCACUAAACAGCAACUUUAAAGCUCACAGAUAUUAUUUUAGUUAUAGUAUAUGAUCAUAGGGCUCUCUGCAGUACAAGACUAAAUAGGGCCCUGAGAUGAGGCACCUGGGACAGGGAGGGGUGCAAAACCAAGGUGUUGGCUAGACUCCUAAAUAUAUUUAUAUAUGAAACCAGGGUGCUGCACUCACCUGAACAUGCAUAAAUAGGGUGCUGCUGGGGCCAAUUUACUAAAAUCCCAUUAUUUUUGCCUAGAUUAGGUGUUAAAAUUAAAAAAAAAAAACGAAUAAAAUCUGUGAGCUUUGAAGGUCCUGUUUAGUGGAUGAGUGAGUGCGCUGGAUCUUGUGUAUAAAUUGGCACCAGAAGCACAUUUGUUUCCCCAAGUAAGUGGGUUAAGAACUUAAUAAUAAGAACAGCUAUGAGGCUGUCAGAGUAGGACCUGCCAAAGAUGGGGUACAUUGACAUUGUGGCAGGCUUAUGCAAUGUAUAAUCAUAUACUGUAACUAAACCCCAUUAUUUUUGCCUGGAUUGUGAGAUUUGAAAUUGCUGUUUAGUAUAUGAGUGAGUGCGCUGGAUCUUGUGUAACCUGUGGGAAUCUGUCCAUUCAUUAUGACAACCUUAGAGAAUCUGUCCAUUCACUAUGACAACCUGUGAGAAUCUGUCCAUUCACUAUGACAACCUGUGAGAGUCUGUCCAUUAAUCCCCAGACACUCUGCAUUAACCUAAUGAUUUCGACAGGGGAUUAUGCACUAACGGACUGGGGAAAUUUCCAAUUAAGUUGAUUUGAGCUAAAACUUGCCAUUCCAUGGUCAUGUCCUGGUUAGUGAAUAACUUAGUCAAUAUCUCAGGGUAAAUGAAUGGAGUGUCAGUCCACUUAAUAAUAUACCUAGCCUCCCUAUGAGUGUGUUUGACAUUCAAGGUAGCGCUUUAAGAGCAGCAGCGGUGCUAUGGCAGUGUAGGGUGAUGCCAUGCACCCCCAAACACUUUUUUAGUGCCACCAUUGAGCCAGGUAGGAGAACAUUUUAGUUGUUGUGUAUCUACUUGUGUGUGUAUCUGUGUAUACAUGGCUAGAGGUUGCUCGGGGGGCCUUUGAGGGCUGCAGGUUUUCCUUUAAGCUCGACCCUCCGGUGUUUCUGUAACCCAGCAACGUCUCCGUAUAUAUGUAUGAGUGUGUGACUGUGUCUGUGUAUAUGUGAAUAUCUUGUGUGUGUGACUCUGUGUGUAUAUAUGCCUGCAUGUAGGAGAACUCAUGUUAAAUUGUUUGCACAGAAUUGACAUUAGCCAGCGCAGGCUGGCUAAUGACAUUACUGAAGGUGGUAAUAGAACGCAGGCAGCAGAGGGUUUAAAAUGUACAAUGUUCUAUAGCAAAAAUCUGCAGAUACAGACUUCAGGCACCACAAACACUUAAAAUCACUGAAGUGGUCAUGGUACUUUGUAUAACUCAUCAAGUUUGUUUAAGAGACAGCUUGUGUUACACGGCUCGUUUUCUUUACUAAAACGGAAUCUGUGACACUUAAAAGCAUGAAAGUUUAAUACUAUCCAUUUUAUUAAGAAUUUGUUGCUAAAUAGCAUGAAUCUUACAACGCUUUCAUGGAUACUAAAAGCUCCCUUUAUCGUCCUACAGAUGUUGUGUCCCAAACACAUUCAGAAGACUCUGGUGGAAGAAAUAGAGAAAAAGUGUUAUAAUGAGACAAAUUGGAUUUGUUUGUUGGACUCAACCAAAUAAAUGGAACUAAUGUGAAGUCGAGCAUCGUGUCAGCACUAAAUCACUUAUUUAUUUUCAAUCUAAUUGUGUUGGAAAUAGUGGCUUAUUUUCUAAAUAUGGAGCUGUGGUGAAUUGCAAUCCAAACUUGCAAUCUUUUGAUGCGUACUUUAGUUACAUACUUACAUAAUAAAUCUAGACUGAAACCAGACUCAAGUCCAUCGAGUUAAACCAUUAACACGUCGAUUUGUAAUGCUGAUCCAAAAAAAGGCAAAAACUUAAAAAACAAAAACAGUUUAAAGUUAUGGCCAGUUAAGUCACAAAAAGGAAAAACAAGUCUUCCUG